UGGCUCAGAGGGUAAAGCAUCUGCCUGCAAUGCAGGAGACCUAGGCUCGAUUCCUGG
rnacentral:tRNA from 1 species